rnacentral:lncRNA from 1 species
UGGGAUGCUGCAGAAACGGUUGUUUUGGCAGUGGUGGUAGUUCUAGUGGAAGCUGUCGUUAGAGUAGUGGCUUUGGUUGAAGUAGUGGUUGUAGAGGAAGUUGUUGGAGUAGUGGAAGAUGUUGUUGGAGUAGUGGCUUUGGUUGAAGUAGUGGUUGUAGAGGAAGUUGUUGGAGUAGUGGCUUUGGUUGAAGUAGUGGUUGUAGAGGAAGUUGUUGGAGUAGUGGUUUUGGUUGAAGCAGUGGUUGUAGUGGAAGCUGUCGUUAGAGUAGUGGCUUUGGUUGAAGCAGUGGUUGUAGUGGAAGUUGUUGUUGGAGUAGUGGCUUUGGUUGAAGCAGUGGUUGUAGUGGAAGCUGUCGUUAGAGUAGUGGCUUUGGUUGAAGCAGUGGUUGUAGUGGAAGUUGGUGUUGGAGUAGGGGUUAAGGUUGAAGCAGUGGUUGUAGUGGAAGCUGUCGUUAGAGUAGUGGCUUUGGUUGAAGCAGUGGUUGUAGUGGAAGUUGUUGUUGGAGUAGUGGCUUUGGUUGAAGCAGUGGUUGUAGUGGAAGUUGGUGUUGGAGUAGGGGUUAAGGUUGAAGCAGUGGUUGUAGUGGAAGUUGGUGUUGGAGUAGUGGUUAAGGUUGAAGCAGUGGUUGUAGUGGAAGCUGCUGUUAGAGUAGUGGCUUUGGUGGAAGCAGCGGUUGUUGUACUAGGAGUAGCUGUGGUUGUCAUUGGAGCUAUGGGGGUUGUAGUUGGAGUUGCUGUGGCUGGAAACAUUGUGGUUGUAGUUGUUGCAGCUGUGGUUGUAGUUGUUGCAGCUGUGGUUGUAGUUGUUGCAGCUGUGGUUGUAGUUGUAGUAGAAGCAGCUGUGGUUGUAGUUGUUGCAGCUGUGGCUGUGGUUGGAGAAGCUGAUGUAGUUGUAGCAGCAGUGGAUAAAGUUGAAAGAGCUGUGGUUGUAGUUGGAGAAGUUAUGGUUGAAGUUGUUUCAGGUGUAGUUGGAGCAGAGGUUGUUAUAGUAGGAGUUACUGCGCUUGUCUUUGGAGCUACGGUGGUUUUAGUUGGACCUGUUGUGGUUGUGGCUGAAGCUGAAGUUGUUGGAGUUAGAGCAGCAGUUGUUGUGGUUGUAGUUGUUGCAGCUGUAGUUGUACUUGAAGUUGUAGUAGGAGCAGUUGUGGUUGUAGUUCUUAGAGUUGUAGUUGGAGCAGCAGCAGUUGUAGUAGGAGCAACUGUAAUUGUAGUAGGAGCAGCCGUGGUUGUCGUUGAAGAAACGGUGGUAGUAGUUUGA